CUUUAUCGGAGAGUUUGAUCCUGGCUCAGGACGAACGCUGGCGGCGUGCCUAA
rnacentral:rRNA from 1 species